rnacentral:rRNA from 1 species
AGGAUGAACGCUAGCGGCAGGCCUAACACAUGCAAGUCGAGGGGCAGCGAGUCUAGCUUGCUAGAUGUCGGCGACCGGCGCACGGGUGAGCAACGCGUAUGGAACCUGCCCUUUACAGGGGAAUAGCCCAGGGAAACUUGGAUUAAUGCCCCGUGGUACCGUUAUGCAGCAUUGCAUUUCGGUUAAAGCCUUCGGGCGGUAAGGGAUGGCCAUGCGUACCAUUAGCUCGAUGGUGGGGUAACGGCCCACCAUGGCUACGAUGGUUAGGGGCCCUGAGAGGGGGAUCCCCCACACUGGUACUGAGACACGGACCAGACUCCUACGGGAGGCAGCAGUGAGGAAUAUUGGACAAUGGGCGCGAGCCUGAUCCAGCCAUGCCGCGUGCGGGAAGAAGGCCCUAGGGUCGUAAACCGCUUUUAGGACGGAAGAACCGGGGUACGUGUACCCCCUGACCGGUACCGUAAGAAUAAGGACCGGCUAACGUCCGUGCCAGCA